AUUGAACGCUGGCGGCAGGCCUAACACAUGCAAGUCGAACGAGUGGCGGACGGGUGAGUAAUGUCUGGGAAACUGCCUGAUGGAGGGGGAUAACUACUGGAAACGGUAGCUAAUACCGCAUACCAUCGGAUGUGCCCAGAUGGGAUUAGCUAGUAGGUGGGGUAACGGCCCACCUAGGCGCCGAUCCCUAGCUGGUCUGAUAGGAUGACCAGCCAGACUGGAACUGAGGUACGGGCCAGACUCAUACGUGAGGCAGCAGUGGGGAAUAUUACACAAAGGGCGAGAGCCAGAUGCAGUCAUGCCGUGUGUAUGAAGAAGGCCUUCGGGUUGUAAAGUACUUUCAGCGUGGAGGCGUUACACGCAGAAGAAGCACCGGCUAACUCAGAGCAAGCUGCAGCGGUAAUAC
rnacentral:rRNA from 1 species